rnacentral:tRNA from 1 species
AGGAUAAUAGUUUAUAAAAACAUUUAAGUUGCAUUUAAAAAUUAUUGACUACCAAUUUAUCUUU